UCAGAGGAUGAUGUCAUUGGACAACGACUCCAUAAUACAUGCCAGUUAUAGUAGCAUCCCCACAGAUCCAAGCUAAACUGUUCUCAAACUGUCAAUCAAGCAACGUACAGGAGGAAAAAAGAAAAGGAACAACCGUCAUCAGCCAAACUUCUUCUUUGAAGUUUAAAUGCAAAAAGAUCCCCGGUUGAAGGGACUGGAGCGUAGCUGGCCUCUCUUCAGCACUAAAGCACAACUUCAUAGAGAUGCAUAUGUUCCCAGGGGAAAAUGCAUUCAUUUUUCAUCACUGUAUAAACUUCUGGGUAUAUUUGUAUAGAUGACGGACUAUGGAUUUCUGGAGCAAGAUGGGGAGCGUCAGAAACCUAACUCGCGGAUUUGCUGGGUUCUCCCAACUGUAACGGGAACCUCACUCCCAGGCCGAUGCCCCUUUAGCGUCUGCAGCUCUGGGCCCCAGGGAGGAAGGAGCCACAGAGGGUUCGGACAACAGCACUGACUGAUGCCAGAGCAGGACUCCAUUCUGUUAACCUGACAAAGCGCACAGGCUGCACCGGCAUGUUUUUCUUCCACUUUCUACACUAAUUUAUCAAACUGGAAGGAAGAGAUCAGAACAUCAAAUAAAAAUCCACAGCCGCAGAGCAAUUAACUCAAGACCUAACAUGUACCUGGAUAAGGGGACUCACAAGAAUUCCAGUAUCUACAAGGUUUUAAAUGGCAAUGUUUUCUAACUUUGUAUCUUGGGUUAUUGGUCGUCAAUGUUUCCAAAAAUAAUCACUCCUCUCAGUUACAUUUUCUGAUCAAUUAUUUAAUGAGGUCUGUGUUAUACAACAUAAAUUUCACCCCGAGGGGGGAAAACUCAUGCUCUUGAGUGGUCAGCUAGAAAGCUGACAAUUUUUGUGAAAAAGGCAAAUUUUUAGCCUGGCAAAUUGUGCUGGCUGGGUUUAUAGGGCAUUAAGAAAACUAAUACUAGUACAGAGGAAAAAAAAAGGCAGAGUUUGUGAUAGACUAGGGGCCUGGAGAUCUCUAGGUUAAAUAUCAACUCAAGUCUGAAAGCUUCAGAUCAACUCUAGGCCUUCUCUACACGAAAACGUGGCCACCUCGUAGAGAAAUGGUUCAACACCCCUCCUCACUCUUCCUUUGUUUGCUCCGCAUGUCCCUAAGUAGGCCUGGGUGGAACUGAGGGAGAAAAUCCUUCCUGGUUUCUCCUUCUCCGAGGAAGGAGGGCAGGUUAGUGCAGCCUGCUGUUGACUGGAGCUGGGAUUAAUUAGUUCCUCCAGUGACCUUGGCACCUACUGAUGGCGAAGUGUGUCUCUAAGCUGCUGAGAGCCACAGAGAAACUCAGGAGGACUGAGAGCUACUGCUAAAAUGAUAGUUGAGCCAAAAAACAUAAACGAUGACGAAAGAAAACCAAAAACAUGUACCUUAUCUGUAAACACUGCCUGAGUAUGUUAUUCAAAUGGUUGAUGUGAAGAAAUACUUCAAUCUAUCUCUGCAUGUAUGUUUAUUUAAAUCUUGAUUGAUCAGUCUAUUGUCCUUGUGGGUAAUUUUGCAAGCCAGUGUCCCGUACCUUGCCAGGGAUUUCUGGAGGAGGCUGUUACCUGUGGUUGGGGCUGAAAACAAUUUUAAAGCAUCCCACCAUGCAGUUGUGGAAGAUCAUCUGUCCUGCCACACUUUACCUUCAUCUAUUCACUACCCCCCGUCCCCGACCGUCGCCCCGCUGUGCUCAGGCCUGAACAGAGCUGAGAGAAGUUAAAGAGCCCCACCUCUUUCUCUUAUCAUAGCUGGUUCAAGGUUCAAUUUGAGUCAACAAUGGGUCAACACUGCCAGAGAAGCUCGGUGUCUUGGGUUGCAUAAAUAAAGGUAUUCUAUCAUGAAUUAGGGAGGUGCCAUACUGAUCCUGUCAGAGGAAUUCUGACAUCUUCAAAUACGUGAGGGGGCUCACCUCCUAAAGAGACACUUGAUUUGCUUAGGGUUACUCCAAAGGCCUGAACAAGGAUGAAGAGUGCAGGUUACAGAGUCCCAUUUCAUUUCAGCAUGAGGAAGAAUUUUCUAACAAAAUGCUAUGGCUUGUAUGCGCCACGGGGUCACGAUUGUCCAGUCAAUAAAGAAAGAUACACAAUAGCUGGAAACAGCUUGUCAGGGCCGGGGAAGAGGGUAGACAGGAAUUCCGCUAGAUAAUCCCUCAGAUGCCUUCCCACUUGGGAUUUCCUUCUAAUUUCCACCUUAUAUUUGUGUUUUUUGUCAGUUGGGUGGAUCUCCAAGGAGUGGCGUGGUGGGGCUGUCAGAAUCCUGUGUAAUGUGAAAAAGUUCUUCCAUCGACUCUAAUGUGUCUUCCCACAGCAAACCACCGUUCUGGUACUUGAGUACCCAGGAGAACAAAGAAGCAGCUAGAGUAGCAUGCAUUGUGGGAAGUAAGUAGUUAAAAGGACCAAAGCUCUCUGCUGGUCCCAGCAGCCCCAGAGGCAGCCAGUCCCUUUGAUCCUGCCUCUUAAUUGCAGCCUACUUGCACCAGGGAACUUUAAAGAAAAAAAAAAAAAAACAGGGAAACUCUAGAGAUAGAGCUUGUUUUGUUUCCUGAGGGGAUGGUCUUUGUGGUGGCUGCCAGGAAGCUGAUACUUGAGGCUUCAAAUGAUUGGUUUCCUAAGGGGGAAAAUAAAUAGUCCCUUCCACCAGCUAAGAGUCAGGUGUGACUAGAACCCCAGAAAUAUGAGGUGUCUGUGUGUGCCAUUUAGUAGGGGUGCCGGGUACAGACUUGGAAGAGAGAACAGGACAUUAGAAAAGAGACCAUGGGCUAGCACAGGAGCAGGCAGAGCACUAGAAAAAGAGAGCCUGUUUAACACUUGGACACAGGAAGGGGAACAUCGCACAGCGGG